rnacentral:rRNA from 1 species
GGACGAACGCUGGCGGCGUGCUUAACACAUGCAAGUCGAACGGAAAGGCCCUGCUUUUGUGGGGUGCUCGAGUGGCGAACGGGUGAGUAACACGUGAGUAACCUGCCCUUGACUUUGGGAUAACUUCAGGAAACUGGGGCUAAUACCGGAUAGGAGCUCCUGCUGCAUGGUGGGGGUUGGAAAGUUUCGGCGGUUGGGGAUGGACUCGCGGCUUAUCAGCUUGUUGGUGGGGUAGUGGCUUACCAAGGCUUUGACGGGUAGCCGGCCUGAGAGGGUGACCGGCCACAUUGGGACUGAGAUACGGCCCAGACUCCUACGGGAGGCAGCAGUGGGGAAUAUUGCACAAUGGGCGGAAGCCUGAUGCAGCAACGCCGCGUGCGGGAUGACGGCCUUCGGGUUGUAAACCGCUUUCGCCUGUGACGAAGCGUGAGUGACGGUAAUGGGUAAAGAAGCACCGGCUAACUACG